AUGGUUCAGUUGAGUCAACAAAAAUCGCCAAAAUCCGGGUUUUUCGCCCCAAUUCGGGGUUUUUGCGCGGCCGCCCCGCGGGUCCCGCCCACCGUGGGUGCUGCUAUUGACGCGUGGGGCAGCGGAACGACGGUGACGGUGUCGAGCGCCCCCGCCCAAGGCCCCGACCUCUUCCCGCUCUCCCCCUGCGGCUCCGGCUCCUCCUUCUCCGUCGGCUGCCUCGCCGUCGGCUUCGUGCCGGCUCCCGUCGCCUUCGCCUGGAGCGACCGCCAAAACCGCAGCGCCGACGCCGCCCUGCAGUUCCCGGCGCUGCCCUGGCGCCGGUCCGGCACUUUCCUGGCGGCCUCCAGGCUGGGGAUGGAGCUGGAGGAAGGGAAAUCCCGGCAGCCCUUCUGGUGCCGCGCCCGGCACGCCCGGGGAGACCGCAGCGUGCAGGUGUCCAACCCGGACUCCCCCCCUUCCAUCCCCCUCCCCGCCGUCCUCACCCUCCACCCGCCGGCACGGGAGGAUUUCCAAGGCCCUCACCGAAACUCCACCCUCCUCUGCCGGAUCCGCGGCUCCCGGCGCGCCGCCGCCUCCUCCCCCAUCCGCUGGCUCCGCAACGGCGCCGAAAUCCGGCACGGCGUCUCCGCCGAGGCAACGGCGCCGGAAGGGCCCGGCGUCUUCGUCGCCGGCAGCCGGUUGGCGGUGAGCGAGGCCGAGUGGGAGCGCGGCGACGUCUUCACGUGCCAGGCCGGCGAGGAGAGCCGGAACACCAGCAAGGCCAUGGAGUGCGGAUUUGACCAACCCCUCGCCGCCGGCGACAUCCGCGUCGAGCCCGUCCCCCCGCUCUUCGCCGACAUCUUCCGCCGCCAAUCCGCCCGCCUCACCUGCCGCGUCUCCAACCUGCCGGCCGGCGCCGACGGCCUGGAGGUCUCGUGGCUCAAGGAGGACGGCGAGGCCCUGCCCACCGAGACCUCGGCGCCGUCCCUGAGGCCCGACGGGCUCCUGGCGGCCGAGGGCGUGGCCACGGUCAGCGCCGAGGCCUGGGAGUCCGGCCAGGCCUUCACCUGCCGCGUGGCGCACCCGGAGCUGCUCUUCCCCAGGGAGGUCGUCAUGAGGAAAACGACGCCCCCCGACGCCUCCCCGCCCUCCAUCUACCUGCUGGCCCCGCCCCCUGAGCAGCUCCGCCUCCGCACCUGGGCCACCCUCACCUGCCUCGUCCUCGACUUCAACCCUCCCGACCUCCUCCUCCAAUGGCUGCACGACGGGCGGCCCCUCCCCCCGGGCCGCGCCCUCACCUUCCGGCCACGCCCCGACACCGGACACGCCCCUUCCGGCCACGCCUACCAGGCCGUCAGCACCUUGACGGUGCCGGCGCGCGACUGGGACGCCGGCGGCGUCUUCACCUGCCUGGUGGGGCACGAGCGGCUCCCGCUGCGCCUGGCCCAGAAAUCCCUCGACAAGUCCGCGGGUAAACCGGCCGCCGUCAACGUCUCCCUGAUUCUGAGCGAUUCCGCCUCGGCGUGUUAUUAAAAUUUGGGUUUUUUACCCCAAAAUUUGCACUUUUUCCCCACCGAAAACCCGUUUUUUCCC